rnacentral:rRNA from 1 species
CCUACGGGUGGCAGCAGUGAGGAAUAUUGGUCAAUGGCCGGAAGGCUGAACCAGCCAAGCCGCGUGAAGGACUAAUGUCCCAAGCAUUGUAAACUUCUUUUGUCAAGGGACAAAAUCAGGCUCUAUAGCCUGACCGAGGUUACUUGAAAAAAAAGCAUCGGCUAACUCCGUGCCAGCAGCCGCGUUAAUACGGAGGAUGCGAACGGUAUCCGGAUUGAUUGGGUUUAAAGGGUGCGCAGGCGGAGUGUUAAGUCAGCGGUAAAAGCCCGGGGCUCAACCCCGGCGAGCCGUUGAAACGGGGUGGCUAGAGAGGGCGAGAGGUAUGCGGAAUGCGCAGUGUAGCGGUGAAAUGCUUAGAUAUUGCGCAGAACUCCGAUUGCGAAGGCAGCAUACCGGCGGAGAUCUGACGCUGAGGCACGAAAGCGUGGGUAUCGAACAGGAUUAGAUACCCUGGUAGUC